AUCGCUUCUCGGCCUUUUGGCUAAGAUCAAGUGUAGAAAUGGACUGCCUGAUGAGGAUGUGAGAGGAAAAUAUUAAAUUAUUAUUGUGAGAGAGCAUAUCAUAUUCGACUUUGGACAAAUGAUAGGAAAAGCAGAAAAUCAUUUAAAGAUGAUGUAUGUUUCUCAGAGUCC
rnacentral:snRNA from 1 species